AAUGGGCGAAAGCCUGAAGCAGCAACGCCGCGUGGAGGAUGAAGGUCUUCGGAUUGUAAACUCCUUUUCUAAGAGAAGAUUAUGACGGUAUCUUAGGAAUAAGCACCGGCUAACUCCGUGCCAGCAGCCGCGGUAAUACGGAGGGUGCAAGCGUUACUCGGAAUCACUGGGCGUAAAGAGCACGUAGGCGGCCUUGCAAGUCAGAUGUGAAAUCCAACGGCUUAACCGUUGAACUGCAUUUGAAACUGCAAGGCUAGAGUAUGGGAGAGGUAGGUGGAAUUCUCGGUGUAGGGGUAAAAUCCGUAGAGAUCGAGAGGAAUACUCAUUGCGAAGGCGACCUGCUGGAACAUUACUGACGCUGAGGUGCGAAAGCGUGGGGAGCAAA
rnacentral:rRNA from 1 species